rnacentral:rRNA from 1 species
UCGGCGAGUGAAGCGGCAAAAGCUCAAAUUUGAAACCCUCGGGAUUGUAAUUUGAAGAUUUGGCAUUGGAGAAAGCUAACCCAAGUUGCUUGGAAUAGUACGUCAUAGAGGGUGACAACCCCGUCUGGCUAACCGUUCUCCAUGUAUUGCCUUAUCAAAGAGUCGAGUUGUUUGGGAAUGCAGCUCAAAGUGGGUGGUAAACUCCAUCUAAAGCUAAAUACUGGUGAGAGACCGAUAGCGAACAAGUACUGUGAAGGAAAGGUGAAAAGAACUUUGAAAAGAGAGUGAAAUAGUAUGUGAAAUUGUUGAUAGGGAAGGAAAUGAGUGGAGAGUGGCCGAGGUUUCAGCCGCCCCUCGUGGGCGGUGUACUGCCGACGCCGAGUCAUCGAUAGCGAGACGAGGGUUACAAAUGGGAGCGCCUUCGGGCGUUCUCCCCUAACCCUCCACACUGCCACCGACGACAUAAUCCACCCAUUUCACCCGUCUUGA